rnacentral:rRNA from 1 species
UACACUCCUACGGGAGGCAGCAGUGGGGAAUUUUGGACAAUGGGCGAAAGCCUGAUCCAGCAAUGCCGCGUGAGUGAAGAAGGCCUUCGGGUUGUAAAGCUCUUUUGUCAGGGAAGAAACGGUGAAAGCUAAUAUCUUUUGCUAAUGACGGUACCUGAAGAAUAAGCACCGGCUAACUACGUGCCAGCAGCCGCGGUAAUACGUAGGGUGCAAGCGUUAAUCGGAAUUACUGGGCGUAAAGCGUGCGCAGGCGGUUUUGUAAGUCUGAUGUGAAAUCCCCGGGCUCAACCUGGGAAUUGCAUUGGAGACUGCAAGGCUAGAAUCUGGCAGAGGGGGGUAGAAUUCCACGUGUAGCAGUGAAAUGCGUAGAUAUGUGGAGGAACACCGAUGGCGAAGGCAGCCCCCUGGGUCAAGAUUGACGCUCAUGCACGAAAGCGUGGGGAGCAAACAGGAUUAGAUACCCUUGUAGUCCC